GGGUGAGGGGCAGACGGCCAACGGUCCUCUGGACUGAGGAAGUUCUGCCCUCCGAUAGGAUACCCGGGCUUUAAGGGCUCGAAGGAUGGUACAGAAACGAGACCCUCGGCGCAAGCCGCGGGAUGAAACGAGCGUCCUUCUAUCCGAUGACGGAGCAAGGAGGUUUUCCUCCGCUAAGUCAAAUGCCGUCUGAACACUGAAGGCAGACUAUGCCCCUCACCU
rnacentral:RNase_P_RNA from 1 species